AACGAACGCUGGCAGCAUGCCUAACACAUGCAAGUCGAACGAGACCUUCGGGUCUAGUGGCGCACGGGUGCGUAACGCGUGGGAACCUGCCCUUAGGUUCGGAAUAACUCCCCGAAAGGGGUGCUAAUACCGGAUAAUGUCUUCGGACCAAAGAUUUAUCGCCUUUGGAUGGGCCCGCGUUGGAUUAGCUAGUUGGUAGGGUAAAAGCCUACCAAGGCGACGAUCCAUAGCUGGUCUGAGAGGAUGAUCAGCCACACUGAGACUGAGACACGGCCCAGACUCCUACGGGAGGCAGCAGUGGGGAAUAUUGGACAAUGGGCGAAAGCCUGAUCCAGCAAUGCCGCGUGAGUGAUGAAGGCCUUAGGGUUGUAAAGCUCUUUUACCCGGGAUGAUAAUGACAGUACCGGGAGAAUAAGCGCCGGCUAACUCCGUG
rnacentral:rRNA from 1 species